UACGUAGGGGGCAAGCGUUGUCCGGAUUUAUUGGGCGUAAAGAGCGUGUAGGCGGCCAUACAGGUCAGCUGUGAAAACUCGGGGCUCAACCUCGAGACGUCGGUUGAAACCGUAUGGCUAGAGUCCGGAAGAGGAGAGUGGAAUUCCCGGUGUAGCGGUGAAAUGCGCAGAUAUCGGGAAGAACACCCGUGGCGAAGGCGGCUCUCUGGGACGGUACUGACGCUGAGACGCGAAAGCGUGGGGAGCGAACAGG
rnacentral:rRNA from 1 species